GAGCUUUCUAUGAGGGUCAUGGAGGCAUUUCCUUGGCACUAUGCUGACUGAAUCCUCUGCUGGGUGACUACAGCUCCCAGUACAUAGGUGGUGGUGUAGCUGCAGUAAUGAAAGCUCUAAAAUUUCUUCCCAGUUUAGACAAAGGAAGUAAAAAUAUAAGUUGUUUAUUUAAUCUUCCCAAUGCCACUCGAAAGUCUGGAGCUAGGUGCUUGAAUCCUUUAUUGAUUCUGAAGCAGAAGUGAACUUGCCACACUGAUGUGCAGACAGCUGCAGGUGCGACUGCUGGUCUCUGUCAGCAUCAGCUAUGGCUUUGUAUGGAUCCAGCGUGUUACUGUAAGUGGCAUCUGCUCUGCCUGUAGACUGGCUCACAGGACACCUUCAGACCUGAGACUGCUUCUUUUUUCCACUUCUAGCAGGAAGGUGGUUAUGAGAGCCAGCACUUCCUUUCUCAUCUUCCUCCAGAGAAGGCUUCCUCCUGGGUCUGGGCAUGGGCCCCUGCCGCUGUAUUGCUGAUCACACUCUUAAGCAGCUCAGGGCACUCCAUUCAACAGCUCUGUCUCCUAAGGGCUGGCAGUGGAGGCAAGGGUAUCUUGCUGGAGAUCCCUACCUGCUGGCAGUCUUCUAAAGGUAAGCAGUUUUUGUUUUUCUUCUUUGUUUCUGUGUCUAUGGCUGCUGUAUUUGGGCUUGUUCUCUUUUACUACAGCUUAGGAUUAUUCUACUCUGCUAUUAUUGCUGUACUUUCCAUCACAUUAUAGCAUUAUGCAUUGAGCCAGCCAUAAAAAAAUAAAAUAAUUCUUUAGAUGGUCACUUGGACUACUGGCACACCAAGAGAGGAACUCUUGGCAGAAACUCUGGGAUUCCUGGGUUCUCCAUGACUGAAUUUAGCAUAGAUUACUGAAGAAAAGGGACCUAAGAGGGACAGUGGUCCCAUUAUUAAAUCUCAUUCAAAAAUAACUGACUUUCUGAAUAAGUUAGGACAAAAUCUUCUGACAACCAAGGAAAAAGUAGUAGCAGCAUCUACCAUGGCAUAGCCACUGCUGCUCACUAUUAACACGUAUCAUUCCUUGGAAGAAUUAAAAGAUGAAAAUAAACUUUUAAAAGCCUCUAUUAGACACCAGGAAAAUAAAAUUGCAUCUCUAACAGGGCAAACUGCCCCACCUUCAAAUGGAUCUUCCUCUUUGAAAUUAAGACCCUGACGUGUGGAAAUCAGACCCUAUAGCCAGUAAGGAUGUAGAGAAGGUAUGUGUUUAUUGGUGAGGCGCGUACACCCUGGUGCAAGGGGGAUCGUUCCACCUAACUUGCACACUGUCAGGAGAAAUCAUGCUGCAGAUAUAGGUUGAACUAACACAUAAUCAAUAGUUGAUGGGAAUUUGGAUACAUAUUCAUUACUUUCCUGAGAGCCCAUUAGCAUGCAGUCUCUCCCCCCCUUGCGCGUGUGUAGUAGGUUGUGAUGAUGAAGGCUCGUAGCCUUCCUCGUGAAGGCUCGUAGUCUUCCUUGCUGCAAACUUCUGACCCCGAAGGGGGGGGGGCAUCCCCUGAACUGGUUUCAGCUUGCCCUGUAGACAUCUAAUCACCUCCCUGCCAAAUGUUUUCGAGCUGCUCUCCAGUCCUUAUCUUCAUGGCCUUCAUUCUCCUUGUUAUUCCAGACCUAGUGUCUGUGAAAGUGCUUGGAAUCCCUUGUUUUCUAACACUCUCUACCUAAACUAUCUGUAUUUGCCUCUUAUUUCUACUUUGUGAAGCUACUUUGCCUUUUCUUGAUGUGAGGCCCUUCUCUCUAUAUCUGCAGGGUCCUGUUCUCACUCUUCAACCCACGUCAUUGGAAGGGGAGGACUUGGAUCAGCAGGAUCCUUGGAUCCUAAUUGAAUCCAAGAACAAAAAGAAGGCCAAGCCUAGAAGGCCAAAAAAAUCCAAUUAGAGGAUCUGGGAACCUCAGUUCCUCUAGGAAUAAGACCAGAAAUAACUCAAAAGGCAAAGGAAAUCCAGAAUAGACUAGCAGGGUUGACACCCAAAGAGUGGCCCCCUGCCUACACCACACUACAUGUAACACAGCCACUGAAUUUAUGGAUUUGUUGCAACAAUUUAAAUACCUCAGGAGAGUGUACCAGCCUGGCUUUUGAGAUUAUGGGAUAUGGGGGCUGAAAGUGUGGUAAGUAAUGGGCCUGAGAUUUCCAGACUUGCAUCCAUUACCACAAAUCUGGCCCCCAGACUCAGGCUGUAUGUGACGGUAAUACAUAAUGAAGAAAUCCAUUAUUUCAGUGGAUAAUGGUAGCAUGUAGAAUUACAUGGCCAAACAAAAGUGACAUACCAAUAGAUACUGUUUUAUGGACCUCAGUCCAUGAAGAACUCCAAAAUUAUAUUAGAGAACUAGUGAUAAAGGAGGCCAUUUAUGAUGAUGCAUUUGAGACUCCUGACCUGUUUAAAUUUUUGGCAGGAAUGAAGGACCUCAUACUACAACAAGCCCCUCCCCACCACUAUGGCACACUGGUGUCCAUACUGAACCCUUUAGUGGACUUAGAGGUCAUGAUCUGGGAAAGACAGAGAACCCUCAGAACAGGUGCAAUUACUGAAUGUUGGAAGGGGCUGAGGUCCUCUCUGUUAACUAAAAGCAGGAGAUGAGCUGCAUGGACUCCUCAACUGGGGACCCUUAUGGGUAUCCUGAAAGCAGAUGCUUAAUGACUUAAUCUGGGCUGGGGUUCAAUUUGCUAAAAUUGGGCUGAUGAUCAAUCAUGUCCUCCUCCAGCUAUGGAGUCAGUUGAAGGACAAGUAAAAGUUUCAAAAUAUCCCUGAAAAAGCAAGGGUAAGAAUUACUGAAAAAAAAUACGAACGAGAACAUAGAACCUGGAAGAUUUCCUAGUUCCCAAUAAAAGGAAAAGCCUCCUCAAGUAACUUGGGCCACUAUGCCUGAGCCACCUGAGGAAGAAGAAUUGGCAAUUACUCAGUUAAUGGCAUGGCACAAGAUGCCAGCCCCCCUGCACCUAGGGCCACUGGGCAGGACCGGAGGCCCUAUGUCAAACUGAAUAUUUUUUUGGUCCCAAAAGAAUAUACAGCAAGUUAUGGCACUAGUUGACAUGGGCCCUGAAGAUGCUACAGACAAUAUGGGCAUCUCCACUUAGGAUCCAAAUUAUAGGCACCAAAAGUUGGAUAAGACCUCAAAUCAGCAAUGAAAAUCUGCUCACUGGUCCUGGAAAUGUAGAAUUAGAAUGGCCUUGGAAGUUGCAAGUAGGAUCAAAGUGGUGUGGCCUUCUUGAACCCUGGGUGAGAUUAUUGAAGGUUGGGGGAUCACUAGUCCUUUCAAUAUUAGGUACAUGGCCUGCAGACACUGGUCAGCAUCCCAGUUUUCAUUGCUAAGGGGACCUUAAUUAUGUCUCUUGAAAAUCAUGAUCUCCCUCCCACCCUUGGUACCCAAUAUGGUUAUGAAGCCUCAGAUAUAGGGCCAAAGGGUAUGGUGCAGGCAGCUGGGACGUGCCCCAGGACAAGCUCAAGUGUUGACCCAGAACAGGAAUGUGACCUGUAUCUUGCCAUGGAGGGUGGACUUCCCCCUUUUGGUACCUCUGAAACAUCUAUGCUGUUAGUCUCUUUGAGUCCACAGGAUCACUGGGAGGAGCAAUGUGACAUUAAGAUGCUCCAGUGUCACUACAAGAUCAGAGUGAGACCUGAUGGUGGACUAUAUUGGGCAGAUAGAAUGAGAGCUGGACCUUCCCUGGUCCAAGCAACAGUGUACCUCCAGAAGAACCAUUGAGUACUGGCCCACAAAGGAACAUGUUCUUCCACCAAUCAUCAAUCAUCUCAUAUUUUGUCAACCUACACCAUGAUGGGGAAAUGGUACAAAGCAUUGUGGUAUACUGGACUGCUGUAAUGGAAAGGACUUACCUUCAAUCUGCUCAAUCACUGGUUCCAACUGUCAAGGGUUGGAGUGUAGUGGAAGUGCCAGGUCAUGGCCUGAAACAGUGAUUAAGCACCUGGUGGGAAGGCAGGGUCAACCCAGGGGAUCUCAGGUGUGUGCAAUGACUCUGAGUGAAUGGAAGGGGUGGAGCCAGGAUCCUCAUUUUAAGGGUUGGCGGUGAAGGUAAGGGUAUCUUGCUGGAGAUCCCUGCUUAUGUGAGGCCUUCCAGAGGUAAGCAGUUUUUCUUCCUUUGUUUCUGUGUCUAUGGCUGCUGCAUAUGGGCUUGUUCUCAUUUGCUGUAGCUUAGGAUCAUGCCACUCUGCUACUAUUGCUGGACUUUCCAUCACAUUAUAGCAUUACAUGCUGUGAUUUAAACCAUGAUUGAAGUUGUCAUUAAUUCAGUUUAAGAUGAUGCUCAAGCUUUUCCCACUUUUCCUUUAGGGGAAGAUGCAAACAAUUUUUUCAACUUAGAGCAAGAUUUUAAACACUUUUGGCCUUUUUAAGUCUUCCAAAAUGAGGCAAGGAGAACACACUGUUCAUAACUCUUGGUCUUCUCCUGUGUGUGACAGUAAUUCCUCAAAACAUUGUGCAAGACAAGUGAGAAGUGUCUUCAUCAAGGUAUUGAACUAAUGCCAGUAGCCCCUUAGGAAUGGUUACAAGGAGUUGUCACCACAACGUGACCUCCACUGAUGUUCCAAAGCCCAUUUGAAGCUGCAAGAGGAGUUGCCAAAACAAACAUCCAUACAAAAUAUACAAGGACUUGAAAUGAUGCCCAAUGUGUUUUUAUAUGUAUUGUAUCCUUUGUAUUUUUGUAAGAGGAAAGAUAAUGAAGGGAGUCAAAAAUGUGAAAUGUGUGCUCAUUCACAAUAUGAAUGAUGUUUACAAAACAUUCUUCUUAACAAUAGAGUUGGCAGUCCUACUUAAGGCCAAAGGAAGUCUAAAUCACUCUUUUGACCUUCCUUAGGCUGUAGGAACCUGGGCCUUCUCCCUCUCACAAGAUAUUAUAACAUAUUUCUGUAAUUAUUUGUGGAGGAAUGCGUAGGCACAAAUAUUGUUGACAGAGAGUAUAUGUUAAACAAAGCUAUUGAAAAUGUCUGCUUAAUGUUAACAGAAUGCUGUUAGGCAUUUAGAAAAUGAGUAAUAAAUUGCCACUGUUUCUAUAGGCAUGUACAGUGCUGUGCUUAUGUUUUGACAGAGCAAAACCAAACAAUGUAGUCACACUUACAACUCUUCUAUAUCAAAUUGAAACCACCCAGCUUCUUUUAUAGUGUGUAGGACAGAGCAAUGCCAUUAUUCACUCAGAACCACAUGAAGACCUUGUGUCUCUGAAAGAUUUGGAUCAGAUUUCCCAAAUCCUAGGUUAACAGCUGAACUUCUUUGCCAUCUUUCUCCUGUGUUCUUUUUAUCAGCUAGAUUAGCAAGGUACUGCUGUAUCCUAGCAGUAAUACAAUAAUACAAUUAUUUGUAUUGUUGCAAUAGGAAUGCAAAUAUUAUUGCAUAAUAUUGUAUUAUUGUUACAAUUGGAAAGAUUAAUGUGGUGGAAGGGCAAUUCAGGAGGGUAACAGCAAAGGGACCAGUGUAGAUGAGAUGGUAUUUCAAAGGAAAAGUGAAGGUUCUCACUGGUCUCUGAAGAUCUAGGCUCACAGGAAAGACUCCACAAGGGUGGGGUCUCCAACCAGAGAUCCUUCCCCAGUGGCAGUCAGCCCUUAAAUGAG
rnacentral:lncRNA from 1 species